rnacentral:lncRNA from 1 species
GGGGCGGGCAGAGGGGCCCGGAUGUGCCGCCGUUUUUUUCGUUUCUGAGGUGCUGGCGGUGUUCCUGGUCGCGUUAGCCUGCUGGCUUUUCGCUUUCCUGGACGCUUCAGGGCUCCGCGGCCUGCGCUGGACUGGAGGAUCCGCGUCACUCUCGCCCUUCUGCUUUCCGCGCUCUGACCCACUCCCGCCUGCUGAGGGCACGACUUGGAGGAGCGCGGGCGGCGGGGCGUGAGCGAGCAGCCUCUGCCGCCAUCUUAGAGAAGGCGAGCGUGGGGUGCGCGUGGGCGCGAGCCGGCCUCCCGCGGCCCCGCCGCAGAGUGGCGCGGAGAGUACUGACUCAAUGAUCCUACUAUGAAAGACAAAGCACUGACUUUCUGGAAGAACCAGAAACCAUCGACUGCGAAACCAGCUGCAGAGGUGGCAGAAUUGAAUGAUGUUUAAUAAGUGGAUCUACACUGGAGUUUAGGUGGAAGUUCUUCUCACUGCUGAGAGCAAAUUAAGGAAGUAUCUACUACAAAAGCGGGGGCAUCCAGUAGUUCAAGUUUACAAUGAGCUGUGAUCGUGCCGCUGCACUCUACCCUGGGUGACAGAGUGGGACCCUGUGCCACAGAGUGAGACCCUGUCUCAAAAAAAAAAAACAACUAUGUAAAUCCAAGAGUCUCUGUCGCUUAGGCUGGAGUACAGUGGCACCAUCUUGCAAUCUCCACCUCCUGGGUUCAAGUGAUUCUCCUGCCUCAGCCUCCGGGAUUACAGGCUGGAGUGCAAUGGCGCAAUAUCAGCUCACCACAACUUCCGCCUCCCAGGUUCAAGCAAUUCGCCUGCCUCAGCCUCCCGACCAGCUAGGAUUGCAGGAGACAGAAUGGAUUAAAUUAAACAGUAGUGCAUAUCACUUGGCUGCAGUGACAGGAGUGAAGAACAGAAUGCAUCCACUCCUCCAGUCUCAUUCAGCUACCUCUUUCUCCUGAAAUUGGAUUGGGAUUCCAGGACACCUCUCAACCUACAGGAAACACUGGAUCUAAAGCUGAAACAGGUGCUCCUCAUAUACUAUAUCAAUACGUCUACUCUGCUAUUUCCACUUACCGGCUUUCAAGAAUUCCUUACUGAUUAUGUUUUAUUUCAAGGUAGGGGCAACUGUAAAAUAGCAUCAUUAUGCUUGAACACACAGCUAUCCCUGUGUUAGGACAGAAUUAGAGGUACAUCUGGUGCUUUCUCUCCAGAGGAAAGCAAAGUGGUAAGAAGAAUUAAAUUUCAGGUACAGUCUUGCACAUCGCCAUUAACAGUGAAUAUCAAGUGUUUCCUCAUAGAGUUUUGAAUGGUCAUGUGGAUGGAGAUGAACUCCAGUGCAGUGACUAGGUGAAAGGUGAGAUUACCAAUGUACACAGGAUGCCACAAUGUCACCGUGGAAUCAUCAGUGUUAUUUUCUGAGUAAUGUCUUCAAUGGUGGUGAUGUCUUUCUUAAGUUUCGAUAGUCCUUCCACUACCUCUCUAGCUCAUCCCAGGCUGGCAGACAUAUAAACACAGUUUAGGAUCCAAAAGAUCCUGUGAAAAAUAAGAACAGUUUAACUGUGGUUUCUUCACAUUAAUUGUGAGCCUAUAUGAUUCUCAGGUUAGAGUGGGAGAUCACAUAUGAUAGAAUGCUCUCCUAGAGAUGAACUGAUUUGUGUUUUUGACUCUAUAUGAGAAGGGACAUGCCAGAUAACCAACUUUGGAACUCAUAUUUGGGAAGAAGGGAGAAGAAGAAGUCCUGGCACCAUUGAAGUGAACUCUACUUCCAGAUGUAGGUGCAGGACACGGUAAUGGUAAGAUGAAAGCCAGUGUACCUAGCGAUUACGGAGGACAGGCGACAUAGAAGCUGCCUCUUGAAACAAGUUGUCUUUCACCCUGAAAAGGAGGUAUCAUCAGGCAGCUUAUAUUUUAGAUUAGAAAAGUGAAAGUUACAUAAAUCGUGACUAGAUUCCUGAAAGGAAGAGAGGCCGCUGGAAAAUCUGAGAAAGAAAAACUCUAGGGAACUUUUGGCUGAGAUUAAAAUGGAAGGAGCUGUAUCUCUGAAAGGACUGCGGAGGCCUGAAUGGGAAUCUGGAUAGUGAGGCAGUAUUUCAGAGUGACCAAGAAUCUUCCAUGGGACUGCAAAGGGCAUAUUCACAGUAGCAACAUGGGAGGAGCGUGAAAAACAUCUUAGAUGUUUAAGUUGUACUGAUGUUUUUGGACUACAUAAGACCCAGGAUUUUGGGAAUAAUUUAUGGAGACAAGGUAUAUCUGUUUUCUCUUGCUGCUUUGAUUACCACAAACUUAGUGGCUUAAAACAAUACAAAUUUAUUAUCUUACAGUUCUGUAGGUUUGAAGAUUGAACUGGGUCUCACAGGGCAAAAAUAGAGGUGUAGUUAGGGCCACAUCCCUCUGGAGACUCUAGAGGCGAAUCUGUUUCCUUCCCUUUCCAGCAACUGAGGACUGCCCACAUAUUUUGGCUCGCAAUCCCUUCCUUCAGCAGUGAGGCUGAGUCCUUCUUACACUGCUGCCUCUCCAGUUCUUUUUCUUCUGCCUCUCUCUUCCACUCAUAAGAACCCUUGUGAUUAUAUUGAGCUCACUUGGAUAUUUCUCCCAUUUUUAGGUCAGCUGGUUACCAACCUUAAAGCCAUGUGCAACCUUAAUUCGCCUUUGCCAUGAAACCUAACAUUCACAGGUUCCAGGGAUUAGGAAACACAUCUACUGGGAGGGCCUCUAUUCUGCCUACCACACAAAGGAAUCCAAACAGGGAGAUACUGAAUUUCCUGAUAAUACUGUAGGUAGGUAAGAGUGCAAGCAGGCUAAGGGAUGGAUUCAGCCCUGGUUCCCAACACUGGUUGCAAAUAUAAUCAUGUGAAAGCCUUAAAAAUGCAAAUGACCAGAUUACACCUGCAGACAUCCUAAUGUAAUAGAUUUGGUAUGGGUUCCAGACAUUGUAAUAUUGGGAUACAUAGAUCUGGAUAAGCCAGGUGAUUUUUAUGUGCAGGCAGGAUAGAGAAUCACUAAUUUAGGAUGAGAAAGUCUAUACCUUAACUCUAGAAGGUGAGAACAGAAAUCCAGAGCAUGUCCUAGAAUUCUGUUCUUUUCUAAUUUCCAUCAGGUAUUUUAGUUACAUAUCCUGUCCUACUUCUUUAAUUUACCUCUAGCUAUCAAAUUUAAUAUAUGAGCUUUAAGUAUUCUUAGAAGUAAAGAAAUAAAUGCUUAGAAAAAAUAUUAUUCUUAAUUACACUUUAUACAUUUUAAUUUACUCUUCCGAUCUGUAAACUUGUUUUCCAAAAAUUAUUUUAACUAAAAAACUAUAUCAUUAAGAGUUCAUCAAUAAUAGUUUAUUUCAUAAUAUAUACCUCGCUCACUUGUAAUAAAGAGUUAAACUAUGUUUCAUUUACCUUAAUGAAAUCU